GUCGCCAUUUUGUUUUUGGUGGUUUUUGUCUGGCUUCUUUACCGCAACCUGUUUUAUCAGCAAAGUCUUUAUAACCUGUAUUUUGUGCUGACCUCCUAUCUCAUCCUGUGACUUAGAAUGCCUUAACAACUGUCUGGAAUGCAGCCCGCUAUAUGCAGAUAUUCCAGCAGAGGAUCCUGAUACCAAAACGGAUUGCAGAGCCACAGGUUGAAAAUAGCAGAGACUCCAUGGUUCCCUCAAUGAUUGCAUGGAACAAUAACACAUGAUCCCUGUGAUGAUCUGUGGAGUGGCUGCAGCACCUGUGUUUCAGCCUGAAGAAUGGGCACAGACUGAAUGGAUGCUGCCAUACCAUCACACUGGAAAUGAGGAAUAUAACACCAUGAGGAAGAAUGGUUGUUUCACACACUGAUAUUUCAUGAUUCUGAAGAAGAAUUGGAGGUGAGACUUGAGAAAAUGGAGAAAAAGAUAUGCUUUGGAUUUUCUUGAAGACUAGAAGCUUUCUUAACCAUCCACCACCUUGUUGACUGGUUAUUAUUCUCUCUACCUUCUGUGAAACAAACUGAUGGAUACUAAUGGCACAAUUACACUUAUAGCUAGUCAGUUGCAUAGUUUAUGCACAUAGUUCUGCUUCCAGUGUUUAGUAAUGAGUUAAACAUUUUGGCUAUAUUUGUCUCUGAAGCUAUAAUUUCAAUUAAUCAUUAUGUAUAGCAAUAAUAACAAGUAAAACAAAAAGAAGAAUUUUUUGUUUCUAUGGUAAUUAUGUUGGGUGCUUUGGAUCCUCCCAAUAAAGUUGACUUCCUAAAAUAAUUACACUUGAAUUAGGUAUAGAGAAGCUAAUUGUAACAAAUUGAAAGUUACUGUAAAUCUUCUAAUCGUAGUUCUCUGCAAGUGUACUUAAGUUAUUGCUCCACUUGAAAUAAAUGAAAACUGGAAAUCUGAGGUGAUGAAUUAUGGGUCCCUUUUAUGUAAGAAAGAUGACAAGGAAAUCUAAUCUGCUGAGUUAUACUAAAAUAAAAUACCUUGGCCUGGGAUCAAAUAUAGGUGAAAGAAUUAACAUUUAUGUUUUUUAAUUAAGAUAAAAUGUACAAGUUUUAUGUACAUAUUUUAUGAUUUCCUGAUAUAACAAAAAGUGUUGAUAAAAGCACCCAAUACUGAUUCUAAUGACAUUUGAUUAGCAUUAAAGAGUUGCUAUUA
ensembl:lncRNA LINC00348 long intergenic non-protein coding RNA 348